rnacentral:rRNA from 1 species
CCUACGGGAGGCAGCAGUGGGGAAUAUUGCACAAUGGGGGAAACCCUGAUGCAGCGACGCCGCGUGAGUGAAGAAGUAUUUCGGUAUGUAAAGCUCUAUCAGCAGGGAAGAAGAAAGACGGUACCUGACUCAGCCGCCCCGGCUAACUACGUGCCAGCAGCCGCGGUAAUACGUAGGGGGCAAGCGUUAUCCGGAUUUACUGGGUGUAAAGGGAGCGUAGACGGCUGUGCAAGUCUGAAGGGAAAGCCCAGGGCUCAAACCUGGGACUGCUUUGGAAACUGUGGAGCUAGAGUGCUGGAGAGGUAAGUGGAAUUCCUAGUGUAGCGGUGAAAUGCAUAGAUAUUAGGAGGAACACCAGGGGCGAAGGCGGCUUACUGGACAGUAACUGACGUUGAGGCUCGAAAGCGUGGGGAGCAAACAGGAUUAGAUACCCCUGUAGUC